CUCUUUCCCCGCCGCUCGGCGGUGAGGCGCUCCAACCCUGGGCUGAACCCGCCCCGAGGUCCCCGCACGGCCUCCCGAUGCCUUCCGUGGCUCUGCCCGCCGGGUGCCCGGCUGGUUGCUCCCCGCCCCGGGCGGCCGCUGCCGUGGGCAUGCUGGGGCUGGAGCCGCGUGUGCUGAUGCCGGCAGGGGUCACUUAGCAGUUUCAUGAUUGGAGCAGCCUGGAAAUGGAUGAUCACACCUAAAUUGAAAGCAGUUCUCAGGAUUCCUUAGGAAUGAAUAAUACCUUCUAUUAAGAAGUUUUCAGAGUCCUCAAGUGUGUUGGUACUCCUUGACCACCUAGAAUAUGCUUUGUGAGAUGGCAAUAAACAAUGUGGAGUCACAAGAGUUCCUUGUGAAUUGAUAAGUCUCCGGAGAGGAAACCAGCAAGGGAUGUGCAAGGCAUCAGAGCUGAUCUGUUGAGUGGAUGAUUAUUGACUUCACAUAAGAUUACAUAGGACAACUGAGUGAUGUUUUUGGCUUGAAUUGAAACAGUGACUCAGAUGAUUACAUCUUCAAUGAUCACGCUUAAACAAUCUAGCCAUUGGUUCAACAGAAGUUUCUUAAAAGCUGUGGCAAUUUAUUUCUAUGUGGAUUGAUUGAAAUAAAGGUAAUACCAGAAGCUUGUGUUGUGAAGUUCUCUCACUAGGUGCUUCCUAUUUCAAAGGUAUUCAGAAGUUCAGAAUGCUAAAUUCCUUUACUUUGAAAUCACUUUAUUUUGAAGUCAGUGGGCCCACUUCUGAAUUACUUAAUUAGGCUAUGGUAAUUUGCAUAUUGUCCAGUUAGUCAAUAGAUGUUCUCAAACUUGCCAAAGACAUAAUAGAUAAAGGGAUCCUUGAAGACUGCUAUUUAAAAUACAACAAGAUAUUUUUCUUCCUUGUAAAGAGCUGUUAUGAAGGGCUGUGAAGAGCAGGAACAAUGUUCUUGAGCAGUUGAAAUGCUGCAUCUCCUAGGUCAAAAAUUCAAGUUUCCAUGUGAAGUUUGAAAUUGUCAUUUGUGUAUUCUAUUACUAGCUGAUGCUUCUAUAGAAGGCAUAAGCAAGAAUAAAAGUAGUUCAAAUUGGCUGUUAGGCAAUCCCUACUGCUGAAUUGGUGCACUGUAUUAUUGCAGGGUUAGGGCCAAACGUAAAUAACCUUGGUCAGAUUAAAAUUCCAUCUAGCCAGGAAGUAUGUUUCAGGUUCUUCACUUAAAUAUCUGCUGGAUGGGGCAAAUAUUUGGAGAUUUAUAAUUUCAAGCCUGUCAGAUUUACCUUAAGUGUAAGCUCUGAAAUGUUUUCACUUCUAGAAACUGACUUUUGGCAACUAGGCACUUGUUCCUCUUCUUUCUGCACUGAGAGAAGUGCCCUUGGAGGACCUACUUGAGAACUUUGAAAACGAGGCCUGUUCUUUUGGGCCAAGAUCUGUGAUUACUUGCUGACUUCUUCAGAGACCUAUUUCUGAGGCAUCACUGCUCUUCAUAGUGUGCUUUUGCAUGUCCUGCAAUCCUUUGUUGGAGAAUGCUCAAAGGACCAUGAGUGGUUUGCACUAUUAAAGAUUAGUAUUAACUAGUCUUAUUUCCAGCUAAAUGACAUCAAGACAGACUCAUUUUAUAGGUUUCUGUGCGAAUGUUUUGUGCAAUAAGGAUUGCAAGGAAAGCUGGGGUGGCAUAAAAAUGAAUGAGAGCUACUAGGUAGAUUUUAAUGUGUACAUUUCUUGUGAGCUCUGGUUGAUUGCAUAUCUAAGGAUGAUGCUUCAACAUUUUGUUGUCUAGAUCUGCAGUAGUGUCAGUUCUGUUCAGGAAGAUGGUUGGGCAGGAGAAGGAGUAUAUUUUUGUGUCUAUUUUAUGUUUUAGCAGACAGUCGAAAAGCACAAUUUCCUACCUCAGUUCCUUUCAGUACAUUAUUAUGACUGAGUUUUAUCCUUGAUCAAAGGAGGCAUAGAGAGAAGAUGAAUUAUAUAAGAUGCUUAGGGAAUAACCUCGUACAGUGGAGAAACCUUUCUAAAGAGUCUGUUUAAAAAUGAUCUUAGCUAGGGGGGUUCUUUUAUAUAAAAGGCCAAGGAAAAGGGAUAAAGGUAAGCCUAAAGGAAUCUGUGGAGCACCUUGUUCUGAAGAGGAGAUGAUGGAAGAUUCUAUUCUUAGAGGAGAAUAGAGAAUAAGAGCUUUUUCCUGGAAAUCAACAUCUCUGCUGAUUUAGUGGUAGGUCGUGUGGGUUGGUUUUUUGUUUUGUUAUUUUUCCAUUUUCUCCCUCUAUUUUAAGCUUUUAGAGGACUUGCUUGGAAUGUGAGCAGGUAGUCCAAACAUUUAUUGGGACUCACUUGGAAAGGAAUUUUAGUCAGGGUUUUCUUUCAGAGGUAGCUAGCAUCAACUGUAGUCCAUUAAUGUCUUGUAAUGCAGGCAGUUAUAUUCUUUAGGCUAGUGGAUUUGUGAUUCUGCAGCUGGAAAACUCAAGGUCUGGCUAACCCUGACAUUUUAUGGUAAGAAAACCAGCAAGAUACCAGUAGGGUGAAGAUACUGUAUGAAUGCACUUGUACCUAAGGAGCGAUGAGUGUGCAACCCAUGCAUUAGUUUGGAUUAAUGCAGGGAGGCGUUUCCUGCAAAGCUGUAGUGGUCAUUAGGUAUCAGAUUUGUGCUUUCUCAAUGCCUUUUACAUUCGGUUUCAGAUGGAACUAACAUUAGAUUCUUCAACACAUCAGUGCUUUUGUGUAUCUAAGCAAAGUUGAAAACUGCAUGACCUUCACUGACGUUCACUGCUGCAAAGAGGGUCUUUGCUGUUUGGUGCACUUUGAUGUAAAGAUCAGAGAUUUCCUCACAUGGUUUGAUGUUUGAGUUCUAUGGUCUUGACUUAGUGCACUGAGGGCGUUAAUACUCUUUCAGGCUCAAGUGUAGAAGCUUGGAAUAAUGAUUUAUCAUCUUCAGAUUGUAUUGUAUGUAUGUUUACUCUAAGGCACUAAGCUGAUGUAAUCCAGAAUGUGCAUUUUAACGUAAGUAAUCCUAAUUAAACUAUUGAGCAGGAGUAAUUGGAAGUAGCUAAAAUCCCUGGAAGAUAAGUGUGCCCAAAACCAAGGGAUAAAUAAAUGUGGGGAGUUCCAGCUUUUAGCACUCCCUGGCCUUGGAGACAGCAGGUGAUGCAGAUCCUUAGUUAGUCUCAUGGGAGCAGGCAAGGUCAUUUGUUAUUUCCUUCUCAGUGGUUUAUUGCACACCAAAGCAGAGGUGGUAUGUGGCCUAUGAGUCAGAGUGUUUUUCAGUCCUUCUCCUCAGAAGUGAAGGUGAACUUGAAGAUGAAGUUGUAGAAGGGAAUUUGGCUUAGGUUUUAUUAGUGCUUCUGCCACUGAGUCUUAUUACGACUGAUGUAGGAGGAUGAAAUCUCAGCUUCCAUUUGGUUAUGUCACGAUCUGUCCCUUAAAAAUAGAAUGUUAUCUCAUGCAGUUUGGAAAGUGAAAGAAAAUAAAUAGGAGCUCUCUGGAAUAAUUUCUCUGCAUUUUCUCCACAAGCUACUUGAAAAGAUUGCUCACUAUAGCGUCCCCAGGAUCUUAGUACUGAAUGCUAUUAGAUUCAUCCCUUCAUUCUUUUUAAGUGUAAUCAUGAAAUGCACCCAACAUACUUUGUUAGGAAAGUAACUGGAAGGGAAUAAAGCCAAGUAAAGUACACAGAAGGAUGCAGUUUGUUUCCAGCGGUAAUGUGUUCUCUCCUACUCAUCCAGAUUUAAGAUACUAGUUUCUCAUUUCCCCCUCUGAUAAAUGGGAAGAGGGAAAUGGCAACAAUGGGCACAGAGAAGGCUGAGGUACUCUACAAGUUCUUUGCCUCAGUCUUCCCACGUCCUUUGUGUCCCUGAACCUCCAGAUUCAGGGAGGGAGGAGCAAAAUCCCUCCUACUGUAAGCAAAGACUUGGUAAGGUAGACUCAGUAUUAGUAUGGUUACUCAGGAUAAAAACAGAGUGAUGAAAUAGCAAUAAUUCACUGAUAUUCAAGAUUAUACUGCAGAGGCUGUGAUGGAAGAGCAGAUCACUUAUCCAGAAAGGUAAAGAUUAUAAGUCUUCAAGAAAAAAAACCCAAAGAUAAACUACAAGUCAAACCGUAAGCUCGUGACACGGUGCUGAACAAGAUCUGAACAUUAGUACUGUGAACAGCAACCUCAGAAAGAUAACCAGGUUUUGUAGAUGAGUGGUGGGACCUGUCCUUACUCUGCUAAAUUAAUAGUGCACUUUCAUUGAGUUUCAUGCUGAUUUACACCACCUGGAGACCUGGUCCUGCCUUUGCACUAGCAUGCUUGUCACCCACUGUGCUGGUUUACAGAUCCCAGUGACCUCCUGCCUAAGAGCAGCUCAGUUUGAAUCCUCAAUUUUGGAAGUUUUGAAGUUACCUUGAUUUGAGCAGUCCUUUCAGCUCCUAAUUGGUAGGUCUGAAGUCAGUGAGAGCUGAGAGCAGCCUUUCUGUCAUGCUAAGGUUUACAUGGAAUUACAUCUUUUAAUAAAAUAUGCAACAACUCUAACAAUUGUCUUAAAAAUAUGUCUUAAAAAUGGUAGUACUCCAUAACUUCUUCCAUGUAAAGUUACAUGGCAGCCAUUACUCACUAUGUAGCAAAUGCUGUGUCUGCAGUUCUUAAAGUGACAGCAGCACUGUAACUCAAGGUAUUGUGAAGUAGUUUGAGAUGCAUGGGGCAUUUCAGAGGGUAUAUAUACACUUUUUCUUUACCAUUUGAUUUCAUAUCCAAAACCAUACCAAUAACUUGACAUGCGGAGAGAGCACUUAUCUGACAACCGAUGAAGUAAUCAAUUAAUAGUCAUCAUUCAAACCAAAAAGGAAAACUGUCAGCUGCUUUCAAAUAUCAUAAAUAAAAAUACUCGCGUUCUCAAUGUUUUAUGAUAAAUUUGUGGCAUGCUUUCUUUUUCCUUAGUGAUUUCCUAACGUCAUUCUCCAGGUCAGACCAAGAGCACAGAGCAGACCUACUUCAGUCAGGUGCCUGGCUUGGAUCACCUCCUCAUCUCAUAUGUGCCUUAACGCAGCUUCCAGGAGGAUCCAUUCCCUGAUCUCCAAUGCACAGAGGUGAGGCUCCCUGGCCGGUAGUUCCCCAGGUCUUCCCUUCUACCUUUCUUAAAAAUGGGAGUGAUGUUUCCCUUUUUAUAGUCAGUGGGGACUUCACCUGACAGCCACAGCGUUGUGAAUAUGAGUGAGCAAGGCUUGGCAACUGCCUCACUUGGUUCCUUCAGGACCCUGGGAUGCGUGUGGUCUGGCCCCACAGACUUGAACACGUUCAGUCUCAUCAGAUGGUCUGGAAGAAGGUUAUUUUUAUAUCUUUCUGACAUUUUGUGUAUGUCUGCGUGACAGCAGCAGAAAGAAAAAGUCCCUUAUAAUCUGACAUCAACAUCUUGGACUCUGAAAUAGCACGUGAUUUAAAUACCUCUGGUUUUUAUUCUGAUGGGCUUCUGAAUAGUUUACAUGUAUUUUUAUUACCUUGGGAUAUGAGUACAAGUUGGAAAGCUUGAGAGGUUUCUGCACAGAAUGCAACUUGCAAAAUGCUGUUGCCAUUUCCUUGUGGAAAAGUAAAUUAGAGUCGAAUAUUUCAUGUACUGGAAAGGAGAUGGAGAGGAAUUGGUUUUCUUUCAAAACAUUAUUUUUAGUUGCCAGAUUUCAAAGCUUCAAGUAAGAGUAUUAUAUGGAUCAUCUGUUUGCUUGUAUUCUCAGCUGCACUGCAGAUCCACUCUGGCAGAAUUUCUCAUGGUAGCUUCUGUAAACUGCAUAAUUUAAGUAAUUUAAAGGAAGGAUUUUUAGGGUAGGGUUUUUCAAGAGUACUCUGAAUUGGUUUCUUUUUAGUCUUUUUGAAUUAGAGUUCAAUGUUGAUGUCAACAAAGCAAAUUUUGGCUGCUGCUGAAUACUAAAGUCAAAAUCACUGAUGUUCCUUCAUCAGUCCAGGUGACAGAGCAACUUUGGAUCAGUAAAAUCGUUUUGAUUGGCCACACUGAAGAUGUCAGUGAUGUCGCAAAGCUCAGUAUAUCUAGUCUCCACUGAAACUAAACUUGUCCUUCCUGUCUGAUGGCAUGUACCUAUCUGAACCAGAAGCAUUUCACACACCUUGCAUUUCCAAUUGCUAACUCCGCAAGAGGCGGGGUAUUCAAUACCAGGCAUUGGUUAUCAGUGUCUGCAGAUGAACAAUUUAGGAGGCUGAUGUACAGUUUGUUCACAGUCAUAACCUACUGAAAAGAUGUCUGCAACAUAAGCCACUUGAUAAAGCAGUUUACAUAGCAACCCAGUAAAGUUGCUUUGAAAGCUCCAUUUGAUGUUUCCAUAUUGCAUCAUUUUUCCUCUCUAAAUUUGUUUGCAGGCGACUUGUGCAGAAAAUGAAUUCAUUUAUGUAAUUGCUGUUAAUUUGGCUGAAAAACAAAAGCAAAACACCCAUAAGGUAAUUUCACCUCUCGUUGUUAGAAAAGCAGUUCUCCAGUUGAACACGAAUGCCUCUGAGUUGCCAAAUGCAACUGGUUUUACUGGCUGUGGUUUCUGUCCUUGUUGAGUCAGUCAGCGGCAGGUGAGGUCUAGAGCUAGAGCUUCCCAACCAGAGCUCUGCAAUCUGUGCUGGGGAAGGGAGGCUGCACAAGGCUGAUCAGGAUGAAGACAGCAGAAGCGUGAGACUGGUUGAAAAUAGAGAUCCCAGGCAGCCCAGGGGCACUGUGACUUCAGGAAAUAGCCAGUGGUGAGGAGGAAGGUGGUGGAAGUGGAUGGAGCUCCCUUACACUUUGCCUUCCAAUGGAAAUAUGCAUUCAGCCAGCUGCAGGCAGGACAGGGUACAGGACCCUCACUUAGGAGUUUGUUUUCUGUUCUCUCCUUGACCUACGUAUCUGUGAAUGAUUCUGAAGGAAUGUGAUCAGAGCAGUGUAAAGAGUCCACAGUAAUUCAUAUAGAAUCAGCCCUUGUUGAGGUAGCACAGAGAAGCAUCAUAAAUAAGCUUAUGGGGAAUAUGGUGAAACUGCAUUUACACUUCUUGCCAUAAGCAAGCCAACCUGGUUAGACUUAAUUGUGAAGGGGGUUACGAAGCCUGUUUUGUCCUAAGGGAUCAGAUUCCCUGCUGUGUUGGGCAUUCAAUGGCAGUGCAAGAUUUAUUGCGUUAAUGAAUUUAUAGCAACGGUAAUUAUGAUCUUCUGCAACAGUUUUGAGCAGCUGGAAUUAGUGUUAGAUAAGCCUCCUUAUCAUCACACACCUAUAAAUAAUGGAUUUUGCUGCAUGGAGAAAAUGAAUUCUUUCCUGUGUAAUCCAUUACCUCUGUACAACAGCCAAACAUUUCAACUGCCCAAAGAGGAAAGUGCUAUUUUCUUUGAGGUUUACUUCUGCCCCAUUUAUUCAAAGCAUCUUGUUAGAUUUUCUGCCUACAGUAACGGAAAUACUGCUUAUUAGAUGAUAAUGUGUAGUAGGUUUGCCUUGAUUCAAAGCAACACGAAAAGAGCUUCCUUAAGUCCCAGGAAGAAUGAAAUUCAAGAAAAAAAAAUGUUUUAUGUAAGGUUUUGAAACCUGAAAAAUUGUAACAGAAAGGCUUUUGGUCUUGGGAAGGAAAUAUUUGUGUAUCACAUCCAGGAUACUGGGGAUAGUGGAGAGACUUUGCUUUAUUCAAAUUACAUCAAGUGAAAUCACGACCUGGCUUGAAAGGAGAAAAACAGAACACGGGACAAAAUGCUGAAAGGCAAAUACUGCUGAAAAGGAAAAUAAUACUGAACUGUAUCAUCAACUACUAUAAAACUUCCUUCUGGAAACUAAGCUCCAUUGAUUCAGUCUUGGAAAUCUCAGAUUUAUGCAAACUGAAGGGACAAGGGAAGAAAAUCAACCACAGGGUCACACCGAGGUUCUCAGAGCCCGUGUGGGAUUCAAACCCACCCUUAAAAAUAGCAAAGGGUUAAUAGUCAGCACUGAAGGCAUGCAGAGUUGGCAAGGUGGGAUUGGAGGGAAGACUGGUGACUUUUUCUUCUUUAUCUGUAUUUUGUAACUGAAAAAAAAAACCCACCCAAACUCUGAUUGCUGAGACAUUUGCUAAAUAGUUGCUAAUAAUAACCAUAUUAAUCUCAUUUUAGAAUUCCUGUAGAUCUAUGCCAGAGCCUGGCAAUUUUAUUUCUUAAUGUAUGUACGCAUAUUAUGGAGGCAGGCAGCCCAUGCAUCGCUUUGUGCUCAUUUAAUCUCUCAGCACAGUGGGGAAAGCAAGAACUUUUUGUUCUCAAAACUAUUUUUAAAGGGGUUUUGAAAUCAGUAAGCUUUAAUCUUUCACCACCUCUAUUCAAUACUGUACUGGCCUACUCUACUCUUUCUUUUUUUCCUACAUAUUCAGCUUCUAGCAAGUGGAAAGAACAUCACCCAGCUUUCCUUCUUGUUCCAGCAUGAGAGCAGGGAACUUAACACUGUCACACUGUAACACUUGAGAUGAUUUUCAGUUGAUAUGAAAACACUGAAGGGUGAAAAUAACUGAAUGCGAGGCGCCAAAAAAAAUACCUCUGGGGCUUUUUGUCACCAGAAAAUAAGUCAAUCUGCACUAUUUUUAAGGGUGCUCGUGACCUUGCAGCUAACAUUCUAAUUGGCUUGGCAGGGUUCAAAUUACAAUUCGUUUCAGAAAUAAUACCUGGGUGCACACGUUGCUAGAGAUUGCAGAGAUGGAGGGCAGCCAUCUUAUUGAUUGCUUAGUUGGGUGAAGCACGCAUCAUCCGCAUUUGUGCUCCUGGUGAUCUGUUGUCCCAGCUGGCUGUGUGCAAACUCAGGGUACCCAUGGCCAUUUUCAAUAAGCAGAUCAAUUCAGUUAAGUUGCCUAAACUGCUUGUACCUUUUCCACGUGCCUAAUUGAAACUGCUGUUUGUCAGUGGUAUCAGGGUGUCAACACUCAAGAAAGGAACUGUUCCUUUUGUUCUUGGUGCAAGUACAGUGUGAGCUCUCUCAUCCAGCUGCCCAGGAUGGCUGGGAUGAAGAGGGAAUAGUUUCCAUCCUUCAUCUAUAGAAAGAGCAACGAAGAAUGGCUGAUCUUCAACUCAGCAGUACUAGAACUAAUGGAAGAGUUGCUGCUGAAUCACAUGGGCUGUUAUGAAAAUUCUUCUAUCACAGUUAACAAAGCAUUUCCUCCUCGCUUUGACUGUGUGUUGGAAAUUCCUGACCCACUGCUCCCUAGAGGAGGCAACGUUACAUUUAUCUCCCUGUAAUCAUGUACCUUUUUAUGAACCAAGCAAUUUAACAGAUACAUUUGUUAAAAGUAUGUAAAGUUAUACGUCUGGCAGUCCACCUAGAGUACCUUAUUCAACCGUUAAAGACCAGCUUCUGUGUGCUUGAAUCAUCAUUAAUAACAUAGUCAAGAUCAGAGAAGCCAAACAAGUAUGUGCUGAAGUAUCUUGCUGAUACUGCAAAUUCCACUAGUCAAGACGUCUUUGGCUUCCUCACCUAGGAACGUGUCGGCGGAGGACAGAAGGAGAGAAGGAAAGAUGGCAGAACAUGCUGCUCUCAGAAGGUUAUUCCCCCAAAUUCUCCAGAACCAGCCUCUGACCGGGCUGCACCUUCACCCUGGUGGGACAUGCUCUUGUGUGGGAACCUCUACAGCAAUCCCCCUGAAAGGUGUUCUCAAGAUCACCACUGCUGUGGCCCCAGCACACCAGGCUGGACAAAUUACAGUCUCCCAGGCCUUUCCUCUGUCACAACAAUGGGUUCACAGUGCUGCUUGUAACAGAGCAUUAAAAGUGAUUGAGAAGGUGUGCUGUACGACCUCUGCACUGGCACCAGUUCCCACCAGGACACUGGUGAGAGCUUUGGGGCUAUUUUACAAAGGUUAACAAGGGAGAGGAGACUCCAGCAUUGCCUCUCACCUUCAGAGUGAUCCCUAUCAGAUUACUCCCAGCUCUCUCAUCAGGGCUGCGGGUGCAAUGCAGUGUUUCUCCAAGGCCCGCUCUGUCCUUCUGCAUUGUUUGUGGGUGACUUUAGCCUUAACGACGUAUUGGAGGAGAAGCUGGUACAGUGAGUUCAAGGCAUGAAACUUCCUUAAUUUCCAGCACAGCCAGUGCAUAUUCUACAUUACUGGUGAGACGCUGUGCCGGGUCACUGGCUUAGGUACUCCUUGCUUGCAGAAGAGGUGAAACUGAAGUUAAUCCACGCCUUUUGGAAAGGGCAUAUUUGUUGGGGACACAGUGGGACAGGAAGACUUAUGUCCAUGUUUUAUUUUCUGCUAUCUGCUAUGUUCACUGUAGUUUACAUCAGCUUUUCUUUCUGGUCUCUCUCCCCUGCAAGGUUCUACAGAGGCUGGAGGCACGGGGUCACAGACCAAGAGAUGACACAGUACAAGUAAUGAUCAUUGCAGUCUGAUUCAUGCUGGGAGCCAAUUUAGAAGUGUAAAAGCUGUGGAAAGGUGCUUCUGCAGCUUUCCUUCCCUAAGCCAGCAGUCGCCUGGCUGGAGGUGUCAGCAGGGGUGGGAGAGGAGGGCACAUUCAGCAGGCAUCAGCUCUCUCAGGACUACCAGGAACAUCUUUGGAAAAAAUAAAAGGAAAUCUGCAUUUUAAU